UAAAUUUUUUGCGCUAAUUUGCCCACCAAUUUAGUAGGGAAAAACUCACACUCUAAAAUAUUACGUAUUUCAUGUCGGGACCACAAAUGUUACGUAAUUCUGUUCGUAAUUUCCUCUCUAGGUAUGAUUACUCUAAGGAUACGGCAACUAAGUGUAAGAAAUUUUUGUGUACGGCG